UUUCCUUAACUCUUUGACAAGUCUCAUUUAUUGUGCUUCGAUUUGAUUAGAGUAAUCGAUUCUGAAAAUAGUUCAAUUUUUUAAGAAAUUUAAAAAGGCUUCAUUCAUUCGAAACUUCCCUUCAUAUUUCUGUCUCCUUCCCUUGUCUGCUUUCGCGCAAGAACAGGAGAAGAAAAUAUUCCUUCAGUGACUGAAAAAAUUUAAAAAAAAAAUGAUUUGUGAGUAACCGUAAUUUUUUACCAGGGGUAGUGAAGUAUUUUGGCCAGUUUAUUUGGCAUAGAAUUGUAAAAUUUAUUGAAGAUAUUGACAAAAGUGUAAUUUAAAGAUCUUCCCUUUUAGUAACGGAUGAUAGACUCAAGUUUUGUCUCAAUGGAUUUCCUGUUAUUCUUGGAUUAUGAUGGACGUUUCACUUCUCACUGAGUCACUGGUAAAACUUUCUUUACGUUACGUUUUAGCAGCUUAAUAUUUAUCUUGGACGAUGCUUCAAAUGCUUCCAUUUUCAAAAUGCUUAAGACCCAGACAAAAUCUUAGUUUAAGAAAUUGAUAUGAUGGCAAGAAUGAAAUAGUUUUCUUGUAAAUGGUUUCUUCAUUCCUGAAUUGGAUGCAUGGAUUUGGUUUCCUAAUGAAUGAAAUUUAAAAUGAUGGAAGAAUGCAUAUACUAUGUUAGUUCCUUUUACACAAAGAAAUUUUUGAGUUGUGUGAUGUACUGUGUAUGUCUUGUUGCUUUGAUGAAUUGAUUCUCCCAUGUCGGUGAUGAUUCGUGUAUGUCAAUCUUGUCAACCCUAUUGAAAGCUUACGUUGGAGUAGAAUUGGGAGAUCUUCUGGUGCUGCUGGGAGUUCUCGGUUAAGAGUUUUGAUGUUUCAGGCUCAAUUGCUGUUGCUUGAUAGUUGUGUUGAUCCUAAAUUAAUGGAGGCAUUGGAGGAAAACCAGAAAUGUGAAAGGAAGGGUGGGGUUUCCUCAAGUUCAGAGGUAAAUCUUUAUUCUUGUCCUAUUUUUGAAGUGGCAGACAUCUCGGAUAUUACCAGAUGGCUUGCUAGUGUAUAUCUUAUUGCAAAUCAAAGCUAGUUGUAUGGUUUUCACAUAAAUAGAAUGUUCCUAAGCUUUGUGAAGUAUGGCUACCAGAUUAUGAGUUUCAAAACAUUAAAAAAUGAGAACUGGAGUAUGAAAUGUUUGACUUUUCAGAAGACACAUCCUUACUCUGAAACAAUGUCUUGAUCAGUUAUUUAUUAUUUCAACCCAAUAAAUGUUUUUCAAAACUGCAGCUACUCAACAGAUUAAUAGUUAAUAAAAUAGCACAUGUUUCAUGGGCUGUGAUAAUAUGCUGUAUGAAUAACUUUUUAAAAGUAUAUAUCAAAUUUCUUUAACUGCAUCCAUUCAUCAAAGUGAUUCCAUCUUGCAUGGAAUAUGAAAAUUCACUGUAUGAAAGCAUAGUUUUUACCACUGUACUUAACAUUUCAGUUUCAAGCAGAUGAGUGAAGUCUCAAGGCAUAUCAUUGUUAGAGCUAGAAUUGUUGUAGCCAACAUGGAGUUUCUUAUGUGCUCUGUGUACCUUAUCAAAAUUCAAUGUAGUUACUCCUGCAUGCAUGGAAAAAUAAAACUUUAUUCUUAAUUUACUGCUAAAAUAUCAUAUGAUAAUCAUUGGAACUCGCACUACUAUAAGUUGGUAUGAGUACUCUAGCUGCUUCUGACAUUCCAUAGACUACUGGAUGGUGUUAUGUCUUUCAUGGGGCAAUCUUUGCUAGUUGAAAGUAUUCUCGGGUUCUGAUAAAAGUUGUAAAAGCUAGAUUGGAUUUACUUUUUAGAUUCUCAUUGUGAGUGAUUGAUAAUUCACAUACUGUUGAAGAUAUGCUAGUCAAUCUGGCACUGGUGAAAUGUUUGAAACUUUGAGUUGAAGUGCAUUUGACAGUAAAUGAGACUAUUAGAUGGUGUCUGAUUUUCUAACUGGGUCUGCUAUUUGCCAUCAGAAAAGCAACAAAAGGAAAAGCAAUUUGGACCUGCAAUUUUCAUUCAGAUAGAUUAUUACAUCUUACAUAUUAAAGACCAUUAGUUUAAUCUUCUUGGGAUGUUUUUGCUAUUAAUUAAAUAUAAUAUAAAUCCACGAAUACGAUGAAUAAUGAUAAAUCAACUGCCAUGCCUCUGUUUGAGAAAAGCCACCUCCAUGAUUAUUAGACGCUUUAAACCAGGACCUGGCUCUAUUUUUUGGAACCAUUCAAGCCAUUAGUAAACAUCAGAAGACUACUGUUGAAACAAGAUAAAGUGAAGCUCCAGUGUGGCUACUUGACUUUUCAGUUGAAAUCAUAUUGUACAGUGACUAAACUGUGAGCUAUUGAUUGGCAUUAACCCAACAGUUCUGACAGAAAGAUGCCAGAGUUUCCUAAAUACCAAAGUCUUUUUUGACAUUGCUUCUCGUGUUAGAUAUUUUUCCUUUGUGCUGAAUGCUGAUGUUGGAUGCAUGUAAAGUUAAAAAAAAUUCAGGAAUGAUUUGUUACCCUGAUAAUGGUUGCUCAACAAGAAAGGAUAAAAGCAUCAUGGAAGUUAUAUACCAAUUUGGUAAAAAUGCAUAUAUCCUUUUAAGAACCAAGAGCUGAUAAGUUGGAUUUCAGUGAGAGAUCCUAGGUCUGGUGUUCACAAUGUCAGAAUUCGCCUGUAUGAAUUUCCAUUUUCCUUUCUUGUACAUAAAUUUCUACAAUUCUAGGCUGAAAAUUUUCGUUCUCUUAAAAAAUUAAUGCUGCUGAAAGUGUUUUUAACAAUCUGGCAAACCACCCUUACUUUCUGCUUGUCUUUUUUUUUCUAUCCUACUGAAAGAUAUUAUUCCAGAUUAUAUGUUUUAUUUAAUUUCUUCUCCUUGCUCGUGUUGAGCAUGUUGCUCUCCAUAGGAAGUUUUGCCAUUUGUUUGAUAUGAUAAAACUGAAGAAAUAAUGGGAAAAUAUAGGGGUCUGACAAUGCACAACUCUAGAAUAAUUGCUUUUGAUAGGAUUAUAGCUUGAAUUGCUGCACAAGUUGUACCUCAGAACUAUGUAGCAUGAGCAGGAUGAAUGCGUCAUUAUUUUUUUUUCUCUCUAUGGUAUGGUUACUUGGGAGUGGUAAGUGGGGAGUUUUCUGCAAUUUGGUGCACUUUGAAAUGACUCUGUUUCACCAAAAGAUAGAACUAAAAUAAUAUGCACACUAUUUUUUAAAAUCUUGGCAGUACAGUAUCAUGUUGUUAAGGCAUGGAUUAUUUGGCAACAAGUUGGACACUGGUAGAGAGUGGCUUAAUAUCUGUCUGAGUGAUGAGGUAAGGCCCAUGGUUAAUCUUUCUUGUAAUUUUUAUUUAUUCAAUUGAGAGUUUUUAUGUUCCUUGUUUCUUCUACCGUCCGAUUUCUUGCUUCAGCUCGUUCAUGUGAUAAUGUAAUAUAAGGCAUCUGUACAUUAAUUGUAGGAUUAUAAUAACCCUGUACAGGAAACGAUUCUACAUAUUGUCCUGAGAUAUUGGAUUUCUCAGAGGGAACCACCAGUCUUUGUACACAAAAUCAAUAACACGUCCUUUCUAGGGCUGCUUUUUUCACUGCCUUCUAUAAGUCUACUUAAUAAUUCUUAUCCAAAAUAUUUAACCUAUUUCCUAAACAAAAAGACUGGCUAUUCCUUGAGCCUUCUCCUUACACUUACAAUUUUCGAGAAGGCAUGGAACUGUUAUAGUUUCCAGUUUACAGUAUUUGUAGCUAAGGCGUCUUCCCUGCAAGUUGUAACAUUGUUACAAUUUUUUUUCUCAAUAAUAAUAAUAAUAAUCAAAUAUGGGCCUGUAUCAUGAGAAAGGCAUGGCCUUUUGAAAUAUUCUUUGGCCAGGAGCAAGUAUUGCCAAAGGGUCAUAAGUAGAUUUUCUCUGGACAAAGACUUCCCAUUGUGGGCCAAAGUGGGAUCUCCACUGUUCCUGCGUAGUGUAGUGGGGCAGAUAUUGCUUCACUCCAAGAUGUGCUGUUUCACAGUAUUCUAGAAUUCUUUUGUUCUGAGUUAAGAUGUGUUCUAGGCCAUCAGUUCCUUUGGAAGAUGGAACUGCAGAUGAAAGGAAUGCUACUAGAUAGAAAACAUCUUCUUCUGGAAUAACAACAGAUGUUCUGUUGUCCCACCUGAAAUCAGAAUUGAUAUAUUGAUCAGUCAACAAACACUUUGAGAAUUUACUGUGGCUAAUGUCAAUUUUCUUAUGAACUAUUACUUUGAUUUGUUGAGUGGGUAGAUGAGGAUGGGCCCAUUGCUUGUCUCUGCAAGGAUGUUGCCAAAGACUUCCUUAGCAAAAUCAUGUAUUUUGCUUUGGGGGAUAAAAAGAUUGAGCCAUGGAUGAGGAACUUCCCACAAGCCCUUUGACUGUAGCUUGACCUCUGACACAUGAACCCUGUCUAAGAAUUCAAUAUAUGAAACUUCUGAUAGGAAAAGUGUUGAUGGGAUGUAGUUUAGUACAGACAAUGAGGAUUCAACUUCCUGCAUGGGUUAAACAAACAUAUUAAUGAGUAUCCUGUUUUUUAUUUGUCUGUUAUUAUUUUGUGUGUAUACACAUUGACGAUUUAAGAAUUAAUUAUUUAAGUGGACAAAUCUGCCAAUUGUGGGCCAUCACCCCUCACCUGAUUUACUAAAUCCUUCUCAUCCUUGUUGAUGUAUUUGGCUAAUUCUAGGCAGAAGAGAGUUUGUCCACCUGACUUGAACUGGCUGGCUUGUACUGGGUCUUGUGGGUCGAAGGAUGAUCUCCAAUUAUUUAGGAGACCAGUCCUGUUUACUAUCACAAAUCCUUCUAUAUAAUCAAAUGUUUUUUCUGCAGAUAUCAAAUACUCCUGGUCUCUGGCAAAUGUAACAAAAUCAGAGUAUAGUACUCUGAUCCAUUUCACCUGCUCAAUAUGGAGAAUUGGGUUACAAGAAUUGGAAUUUUAUACAGAACCGGAGAUCUUACUACUCGAUAAGUCCUUAGCCAUGAUGAUAAAUUGCUUUUACCAUAUCCGGUGCUGGUUCUAGUGAUAUCCUUGCUCGGGUUAUGAUGCCAAAUUGACCUAGUCCUCCGAGAACACUGUGAAAGAGCUCACUAUUCUGCUUCUCGGAACAAUUUAUUAUCUCUCCUUUUCCUGCACUCAGUUUUAGUCCAUUUUUCAGUAAGACCUUGACAGUAUGCACAUGAUUUUUAUUUUUCAUGGAAAUUAAACUUCUACAAAGACAAAAUUCACUGAGUAAAGUUGGCAUCCUUAGUUUCAGUUACAAAUAAAUAAAUAAAUCAGCUAAUCUUUAGUAUUAUUUACCAUUUCUCAUUCGUUGUGAUUACUCACUUGAUCCAGGCCUGGUUGGUUAUAUAUAUAUAUAUAUAUAUAUUUUUCUUUUCUUGAUAAUGCUUUGACAUACCUGUAACAACCUCCAGCUGAUGGACAUUACUUAUCUGAGGCCCAUGCUGAAAGGCCUGCCCACUAAUCCCUGCAUUUGACAAAGUACCACCCACAGUUAAAUGAAGGUAGUCCGUCCAAGAUUUUGGUGCUAAUCCAUAUUUCACACUUUCAUGCAGGAUAUUUAUCCACAAUUCACCCCCAGAGACGUCCACAUAGAAAGAAUUUUCAGCGUAAACCUGCAUUUUUGGGCCUUGGAGAGAUUCCAUGUUGAUGACAACACCUUGAUGUGCCUGUGCCUGGCCCUGGAGUGAAUGGCCAUGCCCUC
rnacentral:lncRNA from 1 species